ACCAACUUGAAACCAACUUCACCGCGGUCCGUUCUUCCACUCGUGCUAGUGUUACGGACAAGACAUUGCAUUAAAAAUAAUGGACAAGCCACACAACACUAUCCAGCAGUGCCACCCAUGAUGUGGGUGUCAGUCAGCCUGGCGUGCCAGCUCCUCUUUAGCCAGCAGGGCAGCCUGACGCUCUGCCUCCAGACGAGCUGCCUCCUCCUCGGCUCUCCUCCGCUCCUGCUCCAGCAUCAUGGCUCUCUGAAGCUGGUCCUGCAGGUCUAUGACAAAGAAUCGAGGGAGAGAAAAAGAGAAAUGAGACAAAUGCUAUGCUCCUGUGCACAGAAAUGCUAAAUAUGCCUUUUUAUGCUCACAGCUGCUGGCAGGCAAAGGAAAGAGGCUUACUUUCCAGCUAUUUCCCAAGAUACUACAAUGUCCUACCUUCUAAACCAGAACCAUUAAGCUCUGUGAUUUUGGUGUCUCCGUUUUAAAGGAUAAACAUUGAUAAACGUAGUGAAACAGUGUUCUAAUUAGAUGCAAGUAUCAAAAAAGUCCUGAACAAUAAAACUCUUUCCCGUGA